GGUGUUUGAAGUAGCAGCUUGCUGCGUUCUUGAAUAUCGCCACCAAUAUGGUAGGGCAAUCCGCAGUUUGCAAAAGAGACGAAAGGGCCUCGCUCGAACAUGAUGAUUUCUGCGUCUUCGCUUAAUCUUCUAGCACGCGCAGCCGCAGAAGCACCACCAGCUACACCAC
rnacentral:antisense_RNA from 1 species